rnacentral:rRNA from 1 species
CACGGGGGGAGCAAGCGUUGUCCGGAAUCACUGGGCGUAAAGGGUGCGUAGGCGGCUUGGUGGGUCUGGUGUGAAAGCCCCGGGCUCAGCCCGGGAAGGGCACUAGAAACUGCCGAGCUGGAGUGCCGGAGGGGAGAGUGGAAUUCCUGGUGUAGCGGUGAAAUGCGCAGAUAUCAGGAGGAACACCGGUGGCGAAGGCGGGUCUCUGGGCCGUAACUGACGCUGAGGAGCGAAAGCGUGGGGAGCGAACAGG